UAUUAAAUACGGGAUUGAGGGCAUGACUAAAUCUCACAGCAAGUUAAUUCCUCCAUUUCCUACUGUUUGUCGUGGUUUUGAGGGAUCUGGCCAAACAAGCACACAAAAGGAAGGGAGAUGGUUACCUCCACAGCAAGCAAGCUACAAUCGUUACUUCUGAUCUAACAGAGAAGAGAAGGGAACGUCGUUCGAGAAGGUUAGUUCGGCAUCGGCUUCUCCUUCCCUUUCUCUCUCUAUCUCUCUCUCUCUAUCUCUUUGUGUGAGUCGGAGAAACUGGGAGGUCGGGCAAGACUAGGGCUUAGUCCUAGAGCGGUUCGAAUAGAGUUGACUGCGGAGAUGAGUGUUGGGGUCGGAGAAAGCAGCUAAGAUCGGCGUGGAUUCGGCUGGACUGGCGUUGAAUUAAGAGGUCGACGGGGACUUGAGUUCUAACGGCUAUGGCUGGAUCGGGUAGAAUAGAGGUUCAGAGGUUUUGGAGUCGGUUAAGGAGGAUGGGAAGCUCGGGAAGAUCGGAAGCUUGUAGGGCUUUUGCGUGUGGGAAGAAGACUCGAUCAGAUGGAGGAGGUUCGACUGUGGGAAAGAAUAGAACCGAAAGGCUUCAUUUGGUCAGCUUUUAACGAUGUUGAAGAGCAGCGAUCAAGGUGCUCUGAAUAGGGAUCCCGCGAGGAGACGCGAACGGCGCCGAAUGCGAUUCGGCGGGAUUUCAGGCAGAUAUCGCGAGGAUUCGGUGGAUGUGAGCAGGUUGGUCGAGUACUUCCUCCUACUAAAUAGAUUACGGAUCAUGAUGGCCCGAGACGACAGAACCAUGGGAUCUUGAUCAGAGUAUCAGAAACAGAAGAUUUUCUUGAGCAAUGGAUUGUCUGAAGCACUGGCCAGAUAACAAGAAUAAACAGAGAAGAUGGAUUAACCAAGCCAAUCUCAAAUAACUGGGACUAGGUUGUUGCUACUGAUGAUGAUUAUUAUGAUGAUGCCAAGUAACAAAAAUGAAAGCAUACAAAUCAUGUGAGGAAAAAGGAUGGAGCAGAAUAAAGAAUGUUCUUUUGAAAAUUCAGAACAUAUUCAGAUUAAACACCUGGGAGAUUACCUCCUUUUCUGCAAGAACAUAACCCUUUCAUGCGCUUAAGAAGAAAGCAAGAAAUUGAGUACCUGGUAAACGCUCUCGUUUCUCCUUAGCUUUAUACGCUUCUUGUCAUCAGUUUUGGUCGAGAUAAGAUAGCCAUUAUCAGUUAACAAACGAUAUUCCUGGCGGAGCUCCACCAGAGCAAUAUGUUUACCCGAAAUAGCAUAUAAAAUGGUUCCAUCUGUUCAUGAAAGUUUGAU